AACGAACGCUGGCGGCAUGCCAAACACAUGCAAGUCGAACGAGACCUUCGGGUCUAGUGGCGCACGGGUGCGUAACGCGUGGGAACCUGCCCUUAGGUUCGGAAUAACUCCCCGAAAGGGGUGCUAAUACCGGAUAAUGUCUUCGGACCAAAGAUUUAUCGCCUUUGGAUGGGCCCGCGUUGGAUUAGCUAGUUGGUAGGGUAAAAGCCUACCAAGGCGACGAUCCAUAGCUGGUCUGAGAGGAUGAUCAGCCACACUGGGACUGAGACACGGCCCAGACUCCUACGGGGGGCAGCAGUGGGGAAUAUUGGACAAUGGGCGAAAGCCUGAUCCAGCAAUGCCGCGUGAGUGAUGAAGGCCUUAGGGUUGUAAAGCUCUUUUACCCGGGAUGAUAAUGACAGUACCGGGAGAAUAAGCUCCGGCUAACUCCGUG
rnacentral:rRNA from 1 species